rnacentral:snRNA from 1 species
AAUCAUAUUGAAACGAAUGACGA